GACGCGAUAGCGUAGUGGUUAACAUGUAAACACGUUGUGUGUCUUGAGUGAGCCGCGGGUUCAAGUCCCGGGCGCGUCG